rnacentral:rRNA from 1 species
GAUGAACGCUGGCGGCGUGCCUAAUACAUGCAAGUCGAGCGAACGGACGAGAAGCUUGCUUCUCUGAUGUUAGCGGCGGACGGGUGAGUAACACGUGGAUAACCUACCUAUAAGACUGGGAUAACUUCGGGAAACCGGAGCUAAUACCGGAUGAUAUUUUGAACCGCAUGGUUCAAAAGUGAAAGACGGUCUUGCUGUCACUUAUAGAUGGAUCCGCGCUGCAUUAGCUAGUUGGUAAGGUAACGGCUUACCAAGGCAACGAUGCAUAGCCGACCUGAGAGGGGGGGGGGCCGAACGGGAAGGGGACCCGGGUCAAGGGCACUGGGGGAGGGGGAAGACGGGAAUUUGCGGCAGUGGGGGGAAGCUUGAGGAAGCAGGCCGGGGGGAUUGACAAAGGUGUUGGGACCGGAAAACUUGUUUAUGGGGGAAAAACAUAGGUGUAAGAAAAGGUACCGAGCGUGACGGUAACUAAUAAGAAAGCAACGGCUAACUAGGUG